rnacentral:rRNA from 1 species
GACGAACGCUGGCGGCGUGCUUUACACAUGCAAGUCGAACGGUGAAGGUGGAGCUUGCUCCGCCGGAUCAGUGGCGAACGGGUGAGUAACACGUGGGCAACCUGCCCCUAACUUUGGGAUAACUACUCGAAAGAGUAGCUAGUACCGGAUAUGAAGUCUGUAGGCAUCUAUGGAUUUGGAAAGUUUUUCGGUUAGGGAUGGGCCCGCGGCCUAUCAGCUUGUUGGUGAGGUAGUGGCUCACCAAGGCGACGACGGGUAGCCGGCCUGAGAGGGCGACCGGCCACACUGGGACUGAGACACGGCCCAGACUCCUACGGGAGGCAGCAGUGGGGAAUAUUGCGCAAUGGGCGAAAGCCUGACGCAGCAACGCCGCGUGCGGGAUGAAGGCCUUCGGGUUGUAAACCGCUUUCAGCAGGGAAGAAGCGGAAGUGACGGUACCUGCAGAAGAAGCACCGGCUAACUACGUGCCAGCCGCCGCAGUAACAC